GGUUAGAGCAUUGGACUAGUAACCAGCAGGUAGCCUAGUGGUUAGAGCGUUGGACUAGUAACCAGCAGGUAGCCUAGUGGUUAGAGCGUUGGACUAGUAACCAGCAGGUAGCCUAGUGGUUCGAGCGUUGGACUAGUAACCAGCAGGUAGCCUAGUGGUUAGAGCGUUGGACUAGUAACCAGCAGGUAGCCUAGUGGUUAGAGCGUUGGACUAGUAACCAGCAGGUAGCCUAGUGGUUAGAGCGUUGGACUAGUAACCAGCAGGUAGCCUAGUGGUUAGAGUGUUGGACUAGUAACCAGCAGGUAGCCUAGUGGUUCGAGCGUUGGACUAGUAACCAGCAGGUAGCCUAGUGGUUAGAGCGUUGGACUAGUAACCAGCAGGUAGCCUAGUGGUUAGAGCGUUGGACUAGUAACCAGCAGGUAGCCUAGUGGUUAGAGCGUUGGACUAGUAACCAGCAGGUAGCCUAGUGGUUAGAGUGUUGGACUAGUAACCAGCAGGUAGCCUAGUGGUCAGAGCGUUGGACUAGUAACCAGCAGGUAGCCUAGUGGUUAGAGCGUUGGACUAGUAACCAGCAGGUAGCCUAGUGGUUAGAGCGUUGGACUAGUAACCAGCAGGUAGCCUAGUGGUUAGAGCGUUGGACUAGUAACCAGCAGGUAGCCUAGUGGUUAGAGCGUUAGACUAGUAACCAGCAGGUAGCCUAGUGGUUAGAGCGUUGGACUA